GGCUUGUCAGUAUCGUGUCCGUGUGUGUCCAUGCUUCAUAGCCAUGUAGUAUUUCACUUCUGAUUGAAGGCGUGUUCGGGUGUCCGACAAGUAUUUCACUUGGCUAUGCAGUCAUAUUUAGUGAAGUUAUUUAAGUUUUCCAUUCGUAAAAUUUUUCAGAAUAAUAUUCGGGUCAUAUGUUUCUUACUGUUACACUUGUCAAUAUCAAAACUGUUCCUUUGCAUUUUCCAUGGAUGGAAGAAAAGAAAAUUUAAGUGCCAUUUGGGCAUAUAUUGAGGUUAAGGCGAUGCUUGUACAAUAGGUAAUUAUUUUUGUUUAGUGACUGGUUAGAUAGUCUUUAUACUUGUUUCAAUACCAAAUGUCUGUGUUUUGCUGAUUGAUCUCAGUUUUGUUGGUUAUCUUGGCUUCAGGUAGAUGUUUCAGAAGAUAUGUGUUUCAAUCUUGCCUUUCCCUUUCUAGUAGCAAUAAAAUAUACGUGUCUGUUGAGUGAUUGUGAUAUAUGUGAGAUAUGUUUUGAACUGAUUCUGUUAUGUGUCUGAUUAAAGAGUAGUGCACCCAUAGAAUUUUUUUGUCAUGGGAGUUUUGUAUUGAAAAAUACAUCACUGAUUAUGCAAUUUUGUUAUCUGUUCUUGGCACAACUUAUGCUAGGAUCAGUGUAACUAAUGCAUCAUUUUGCUAUUUCGGUAAAAGAGAGCGUGCGUUGUGUGAUUGUGUCAUUUUAUGAUUGGCAAUUGUAAUUAAAGUGAUGAUUGUAAAAAUAGCAUUAAUGUCAUUAUCAGUAGUCAAGCUAUCUGUGUUUUUUUGUUUGUUGAGGGAGCUAUCUGUGCUUGUUAAAACUGUAAGUUUUAGAAAGAGGAGCAUGCAUGUUAUUAAGAUAAUAGAAAUACUAUAAGAAAUGUUGUUAAGGACCGUUAUUAAGAUAAUAGAAAAACUGUAAGAAGAAAGAUGGAUUAAGAAAAACUGCUUGUUUCAUCACAUCAGUCGAAGGAGGGUGCCACUUACUUUCUCUGCUGGAAUUUCGAAAAUUGUCAUUAGUACCUCUGCUACGGACUGCUUGCCAUUCAUGUGAGCUGCCUGGAUAAUAUGCUGCGGCUGUAAUUGUCGUUGAUUCCAAAUAAGACUAUUUUGAUUAUGCCAAAUUUCUGCUAACAGCAUCAUAAUUCUGCUCACUUCACGUUCUGCUUUGCGAGUAAAAAAUAUAUCAGAUGGCACCGCUGCAGUAGACGAAAACUGCUGCAAACUGUCGCGUAAAACAUGCCAAAGUCCAGUGGGGGUCCAACAAAGUAAGCUGUUACUGCACUGGAAGACUAGAAUGCCAAUCGGACUCGCUUUGCUCUCCACAUAGUUCACAAUAUAAAGGGCAAUUCAUCUAAAAUUUGAAUGAAUUGUUUCACUUAAAAUUGUUUGACAAUGUAGAAAAUAUUUACACUGACAGUUUUACACUGACAGUGUUUGUAUGUAUGUUUGAUGCAACACAAAAAACCAAAAAAAAAAAAGGUGUGUGAUUGACCUUUGGAUGAUGCAAGACAAAUAUAAUAUAUCGGUGGACGUAUCAUGUAUAUUGGCUACCUAGGUGAAGUAAAAGUGUUUGCUCAAAACCAAUUUACACAAUCUGCUGAUAAUCAAACGAACUCUAUAUAAGGGCUGGAGAAUUCUUAACGCUCUUUGAAGUCUAGUUGAAGAAUUUAUAUAGUUACCUUGCCAUAAUGGACCCAACUCUGGUAGGCUAUAAAAUAAUGCAUUUUUUGAAACAAUGAUGGUGACAAAAACUUUAUUUCCAAAAAUGCA
rnacentral:lncRNA from 1 species